GAUGAACGCUAGCUACAGGCUUAACACAUGCAAGUCGAGGGGAAACGACAGAGGAAGCUUGCUUCCUUUGGGCGUCGACCGGCGCACGGGUGAGUAACGCGUAUCCAACCUUCCCGCAAGUAAGGGAUAAUCCGUAGAAAUGCGGCCUAAUACCUUAUGUUUUCCUUAGAUGGCAUCUGAUGAGGAACAAAGAUCCGUCGCUUGCGGAUGGGGAUGCGUCUGAUUAGUUAGUCGGCGGGGUAACGGCCCACCGAGACGACGAUCAGUAGGGGUUCUGAGAGGAAAGUCCCCCACAUUGGAACUGAGACACGGUCCAAACUCCUACGGGAGGCAGCAGUGAGGAAUAUUGGUCAAUGGGCGGAAGCCUGAACCAGCCAAGUAGCGUGCAGGACGACGGCCCUAUGGGUUGUAAACUGCUUUUAUAAGGGAAUAAAGUGGGUCUCGUGAGACUUUUUGCAUGUACCUUAUGAAUAAGGACCGGCUAAUUCCGUG
rnacentral:rRNA from 1 species